AGUGAGGUAGAAGAAAAGUGUUUUUCGACGUCCCGGGAAACGCAAUAAAAUCAAUUUAAAUCACUUACACUGGCAUCCUUUAGCUCGUAACUAACGGUAAUUAUUUUCAAAUUAUUCCAAAAAUGGAAUUUUUUAAUAUUUUGUGCUUAACGUCGAUUCGACGUCUAUUCGACGUUAGCUGCACAGCUGUUUAAAUUCGCGCGCGCAAGGUGCAGCACAACCGCUGUGCGUGCGAAAAUCUAAAGAUCCUAUAUACAACUUUAUUAACAUAUCAAACACCUUGCAGUACUCAUUCGAGGCCCUUAAUAAAAUAAUUUAAUGUAAAGACGAGUUCGUUUGAGUGACGGUGCCCGUAUUUUCGCGUAAGGAUGUGUUGGAUCCUCUUUACGGCCGUUGUUGGAGUUGGCACCAUUGGCUGUUGUGUAUGAUAAGCGAUCGUAAUCAAAUACUACAAGAAAGAGGCCGAACAAAUUUGCUGGUGCUGCGCUGGAUGAAUCGUUUCAGGAGAAUUUGAAAACAAGAACCCUUUUUUAAGAGCUGUUAACGUUUUGGUGAAUCUUAUGUUUUGCAUCACGAAGAUGGUGGAGAUUCGGCUGUAAGUUACCAGAAGGCAGUCAAAAAUUAUAUUUCGGUAACAGUUGGCCGGGUUUAACUUCAAGUGAAAGAACUAAAAGUUGGGCUCAUCUUGCAUUAUCGAGGAAAACAUUUGCUGAGGACUUUGUACGACGCUCCCAGGCAAGAAUGGAAGUGCACCCAGCGUUAAGCGGCCAAUGUGUUCAUUACAGGUUUUUUUAAGGUACUGUUUACGUGACAUUUUGCAUCGUGACAUGAUAAUUUCUGUCUGGAAAGUCAGCCUUAUUGGCAAAUAAAUUCUCUUGUUCUAUGUAAGUAAAAUUGAACUGUUCUUUACUUUAAAU
rnacentral:lncRNA from 1 species